rnacentral:rRNA from 1 species
UAAUACGGAGGGUGCAAGCGUUACUCGGAAUCACUGGGCGUAAAGGGCGCGUAGGCGGAUUAUCAAGUCUCUUGUGAAAUCUAAUGGCUUAACCAUUAAACUGCUUGGGAAACUGAUAAUCUAGAGUGAGGGAGAGGCAGAUGGAAUUGGUGGUGUAGGGGUAAAAUCCGUAGAUAUCACCAAGAAUACCCAUUGCGAAGGCGAUCUGCUGGAACUCAACUGACGCUAAGGCGCGAAAGCGUGGGGAGCAAACAGGAUUAGAUACCCUGGUAGUCCACGCCCUAAACGAUGUAUGCUAGUUGUUGGGAUGCUAGUCAUCUCAGUAAUGCAGCUAACGCAUUAAGCAUACCGCCUGGGGAGUACGGUCGCAAGAUUA